rnacentral:rRNA from 1 species
GAUGAACGCUGGCGGCGUGCCUAAUACAUGCAAGUCGAGCGAACAGACGAGGAGCUUUCUCCUCUGGCGUUAUCGGCGGACGGGUGAGUAACACGUGGACAACCUACCUAUAAGACUGGGAUAAUUUCGGGAAACCGGCGCUAAUACCGGAUAAUAUAUUGAACCGCAUGGUUCAAUAGUUAAAGACGGUUUUGCUGUCACUUAUAGAUGGAUCCGCACCGAACUAGCUAUGUGGUAAGGUAACGGCUUACCAAUGGAACAAUGCGUAGCCGACCUGACAGGGUGACCGACCCCACUGGAACUGAGAAACGGCCCCGACCACGCCGAGAGGCAGCCGUAGGAGCUCUGCGAGGAUGGACGAAAGCCUGACGGGGCAACGCCGCUUGAGUGACGGAGCUCUACGGAACGUGAGACUCAGGUAUUUGGGAAGAACAAAUGUGUACGUAAGUAUGAACGUUAUGACGGUACCUAAUGAGACAGCCACGGCUAACUACGUG